UCACUAAUCAAGCCCGGCUUGCUGUUGGACCUCUUGUCGUUAAGAGACAGGCCCCAAAGAUAAUGACGGCGUCAAUUGGACCCUAGAUGCAACGAGCUUUCAUUAGCACGCAUUUUAGUAAAGCCUUUUGACCCGGUCUUUUUUAACCAAUUUCUAAGG
rnacentral:misc_RNA from 1 species